UGGGGAAUAUUGCACAAUGGGCGCAAGCCUGAUGCAGCCAUGCCGCGUGUAUGAAGAAGGCCUUCGGGUUGUAAAGUACUUUCAGUCGGGAGGAAGGUGUCAAGGUUAAUAACCUUGGCAAUUGACGUUACCGACAGAAGAAGCACCGGCUAACUCCGUGCCAGCAGCCGCGGUAAUACGGAGGGUGCAAGCGUUAAUCGGAAUUACUGGUCGUAAAGCGCACGCAGGCGGUUGAUUGAGUCAGAUGUGAAAUCCCCGGGCUUAACCUGGGAAUUGCAUCUGAUACUGGUCAGCUAGAGUCUUGUAGAGGGGGGUAGAAUUCCAUGUGUAGCGGUGAAAUGCGUAGAGAUCUGGAGGAAUACCGGUGGCGAAGGCGGCCCCCUGGACGAAGACUGACGCUCAGGUGCGAAAGCGUGGGGAGCAAACAGG
rnacentral:rRNA from 1 species